CUUUUUAAUUAUAGGUUCAUAGUGUUCUCACAGUGGUCAGGUACUUGUUAUAUGACAGGACAAACACAUUAGACUAUAAUGAUGCGAGGGAGGGAGGGCGAGUCUUUUUAAUUAUAGGUUCAUAGUGUUCUCACAGUGGUCAGGUACUUGUUAUAUGACAGGACAAACACAUUAGACUAUAAUGAUGCGAGGGAGGGAGGGCGAGUCUUUUUAAUUAUAGGUUCAUAGUGUUCUCACAGUGGUCAGGUACUUGUUAUAUGACAGGACAAACACAUUAGACUAUAAUGAUGCGAGGGAGGGAGGACGAGUCUUUUUAAUUAUAGGUUCAUAGUGUUCUCACAGUGGUCAGGUACUUGUUAUAUGACAGGACAAACACAUUAGACUAUAAUGAUGCGAGGGAGGGAGGGCGAGUCUUUUUAAUUAUAGGUUCAUAGUGUUCUCACAGUGGUCAGGUACUUGUUAUAUGACAGGACAAACACAUUAGACUAUAAUGAUGCGAGGGAGGGAGGGCGAGUCUUUUUAAUUAUAGGUUCAUAGUGUUCUCACAGUGGUCAGGUACUUGUUAUAUGACAGGACAAACACAUUAGACUAUAAUGAUGCGAGGGAGGGAGGACGAGUCUUUUUAAUUAUAGGUUCAUAGUGUUCUCACAGUGGUCAGGUACUUGUUAUAUGACAGGACAAACACAUUAGACUAUAAUGAUGCGAGGGAGGGAGGGCGAGUCUUUUUAAUUAUAGGUUCAUAGUGUUCUCACAGUGGUCAGGUACUUGUUAUAUGACAGGACAAACACAUUAGACUAUAAUGAUGCGAGGGAGGGAGGGCGAGUCUUUUUAAUUAUAGGUUCAUAGUGUUCUCACAGUGGUCAGGUACUUGUUAUAUGACAGGACAAACACAUUAGACUAUAAUGAUGCGAGGGAGGGAGGGCGAGUCUUUUUAAUUAUAGGUUCAUAGUGUUCUCACAGUGGUCAGGUACUUGUUAUAUGACAGGACAAACACAUUAGACUAUAAUGAUGCGAGGGAGGGAGGGCGAGUCUUUUUAAUUAUAGGUUCAUAGUGUUCUCACAGUGGUCAGGUACUUGUUAUAUGACAGGACAAACACAUUAGACUAUAAUGAUGCGAGGGAGGGAGGGCGAGUCUUUUUAAUUAUAGGUUCAUAGUGUUCUCACAGUGGUCAGGUACUUGUUAUAUGACAGGACAAACACAUUAGACUAUAAUGAUGCGAGGGAGGGAGGGCGAGUCUUUUUAAUUAUAGGUUCAUAGUGUUCUCACAGUGGUCAGGUACUUGUUAUAUGACAGGACAAACACAUGUUAGGAUAUCUGGUGACUUAACCUCUGCUCGCCUCCUCUGAAACCUUGUUGACCUGUCAUUGACCUCUUCAUGUACAUGGGACC